rnacentral:rRNA from 1 species
GACGAGCGCUGGCGGCGUGCUUAACACAUGCAAGUCGAGCGGUAAGGCCUUUCGGGGUUGACGUGCGGCGAACGGGUGAGGAACACGUGGGUGAUCUGACCUGCACCUCGGGUUAAGGCUGGGAUAAGGGAUCUAAUACUGGUUACGACCUGCAACCGCAGGGGGGGGGGGGGGAAGGUUUAUCGGUGCAGGAUGGGCCCGCGGCCUAUCAGCUUGUUGGUGGGGUAAUGGCCUACCAAGGCGACGACGGGUAGCCGACCUGAGAGGGUGACCGGCCACACUGGGACUGAGACACGGCCCAGACUCCUACGGGAGGCAGCAGUGGGGAAUAUUGCACAAUGGGCGAAAGCCUGAUGCAGCGACGCCGCGUGCGGGAUGACGGCCUUCGGGUUGUAAACCGCUUUCGGCAGGGACGAAGCGCGAGUGACGGUACCUGCAGAAGAAGCACCGGCUAACUACGUG